GAUGAAGAACGUAGCGAAAUGCGAUAAGUAGUGUGAAUUGCAGAAUUCAGUGAAUCAUCGAAUCUUUGAACGCACAUUGCGCCCCUUGGUAUCCCGAGGGGCAUGCCUGUUCGAGCGUCAUUUUACCACUCAAGCCUGGCUUGGUGUUGGGCGACGUCCUCUUUGGGGACGCGCCUCGAAACGCUCGGCGGCGUGGCACCGGCUUUAAGCGUAGCAGAAUCUUUCGCUUUGGAAGUCGGGGCCCCGUCUGCCGGAAGACCUGCUCGCAAGGUUGACCUCGGAUCAGGCAGGGAUACCCGCUGAACUUAAGCAUAUCAAUAAGCGGAGGA
rnacentral:misc_RNA from 1 species